GGCUUCAACAACCCCGCUGGUUGGGCGCGGAUUUUGUUGAGACGUAGCUCCGCUACGUCUAACGCGCAGUGAACCGGCUGGAGCC
rnacentral:sRNA from 1 species